rnacentral:rRNA from 1 species
GGAUGAGAUGAGCGCAAGCCUGACAGAGCGACGCCGCGUGCGGGAUGAAGGCCCUCGGGUUGUAAACCGCUGUCACUCGUUAAGAAAGCCUGGGGAAGGCCUCCAGGCUGACGUUAGCGAGAGAGGAAGUCACGGCUAACUUCGUGCCAGCAGCCGCGGUAAGACGAAGGUGACAACCGUUGCUCGGAAUCACUGGGCAUAAAGCGCGCGUAGGUGGCUUGGUAAGUCCAUGGUGAAAUCCCUCGGCUCA